AAAAAAAAAAAACCCUAAAUCCGGUGUUCAUAUCACCGUACUGCGUCGUCACUUACUCUCCAAAACUUUAGCCAUUUCCCUUCAUCUCCACUGCCAAGCAGCGAAAAGUCUCUUAGCCAUUAAAAAUUUCGAGAAUGGUAAAUUUUCUCAUUCGUAAUCAGAUUAUUUUUCUGAACUGUGAAAUGUAGCUAUGGUUGUAAUUGCUGAAGUUCUGUUUGGUUGCUGAGAAAUGCUUGUAAAGUUAAUGUAAGUGUUAGAUUCAAAUGUUUAACUAUAUGGAAACUGACUGGUUUUGAAUCUUUUGGCGCUAUGUUUAUUACAUUCGGCUUGUUAAUGGAUUGAGAAAUGUCAUAAUCUAUUGCUGAAAACAGGAACUGUGAAAUGUAGCUAUGGUUGUAAUUGCUGAAGUUCUGUUUGGUUGCUGAGAAAUGCUUGGGAAGCAAAUUGGAGUAUUAGAUCCAAAAGUUCAACUAUGUGGAAACUAACUGGUUUCCAAGAUAUGUUUCUUAUCUUUGUCUUGUUAGUGGAAAUGUAAUAACCUAUUGCUGAAAACAAAAAUUGUUAAAUGUAGCCAUGGUUUUAAUUGUUUUUGUGUUGCAGUAACAUUUAAUUUUAAAUUUGAUUUGAAUGAAUUAACCUUUUGGGUCUAAUUAAGUUGAUAUUCACUAGCCGAUACGUUUUUGGGUUGAACUUUACUUUCAUCGAAGAAAGAUUUGCUUCCUCCAGCAACUAUCAAGCAUUUUGAUUUCAUAUGGUAGCAGAUAUCUAUAUUCUUGAUAGCAUUUUAUGUUGCAUAAUUUGCAUUUUAUAUUUUAUAUUUUAUUCUGCAGGAUGGGAAUGAUUCUAUCCAAAACAGAACACCACUCAUAUGGCAGCUUCCGUCCAGAAUCUACUUCAAUAGAUGCAAACAAUAAAGGUUCCAAACAAGGUCUGACUCCAUCAUCAUGAAGAAUAUCCUUUUCAUAUACUCUACUCUCUAGUAACUGCAUGAUACUAGGAAACUGAAGCUUGAGGUGAUGAAAUCGCUUCAUUGGUUUCUAAAGCAUCAGAGAAGUGUUGUUAUGUUGAUUUUGGGGUCCUUUUGGUUGAGGUUGGGUUGGUCUUAAACAUUUGACAUUACAAUUAACAAAAUGGAGACUUCUUUACUUGCUCAUUGCCAAGGAUUUAGUCUGCUUUUAGCUUGGGUCUUUAUUUUUUUGGGGAAAAGAUCUGUGUCACGGUGGAACCCGAACUUCAUUUCACUUGUCCUUGUUCCUUAAGUGCCACCAAAUCCUUCCUUAAGUGCCACCAAAUCCAAAAUGAAGCAGUUUCAUCAUAUAGUGGAUGCAUAUAUUCCUGCUCCAAGGGAAAAAAACAAUGCAUUCCGUUGUAAACAUUUUCUUGAUUUCCUUGACUUCAUUGCACUUGAUGAGAUGAGCAGCAGGAUAGAUAAGCUAGAGCAAAGCAUCAAUGAUCUCAGAGCAGAGGGGGGUGCAGAGAACUUUCCUUCUCCUUCACUUCCUUCUGGUUCGGAGGAUGAUUCCAAGUCAUCCAAUGAAUCCUAACGGUGUUCUGUGAUAGUUUAAUGAAUCCAGCGUCUAAAGCAUGGUAUUUCCAGACUAUUUCAUUUGGUCCCCUGCCUUUCUCAUAUAGAAAACCUGUAGUAUACUAGUAUUUCAACUUUUGGAACAAGAACUAUACUUUAUAUUUGUAACUAAUCCCUCCUCUAAUUCCCUAAUUUCAUCGAAUACGGUUAACCUUCUUGAACUGUUCCUUCAUCCUUGUCCUGUAUGUCAAAAGACCUCGGCAGCAUGUAUUUUAUUCUUUGCAUUCUAUGCAUGUUCUACUAUUGUAAUGAGCUGUUGUAGCAUCAAAUAUCAAUCAAGGACCACUGCGACACCAUGGUCACCUGAAGAGGAAUUGAUUUGUACAUAGAAAAUAGCAGUAGUUGGUAGAUAGGUUCGUGCUCAGAGGAAUCUCAUUAUCUUUUAGAUCAUGCCACCCACUAACAAAUUAAUUAGAUUAAUGUACAUGAUUUGGCUCAACUAAAGCACAAAAAACUCAGGCAGGGUAGUCUUGCAAAGGUGGUCCUGAUUUUCCUCAUGUUAAUCUUUAUAUAUUCUUGUUUUUUUUAUC